rnacentral:rRNA from 1 species
UACGUAGGGUGCAAGCAUUAAUCGGAAUUAUUGGGCGUAAAGGGCGCGUAGGCGGCCAAGUAAGUCAGAUGUGAAAUCCCGGGGCUCAACCCCGGAACAGCAUUUGAAACUGCGCGUCUAGAGGAUAGGCGGAGAAAACGGAAUUCCACAAGUAGCGGUGAAAUGCGUAGAUAUGUGGAAGAACACCUGUGGCGAAAGCGGUUUUCUAGAUUAGACCUGACGCUGAAGCGCGAAAGCAAGGGGAGCAAACAGG